UACGUAGGGAGCAAGCGUUAUCCGGAUUUAUUGGGUGUAAAGGGUGCGUAGACGGGAAUUUAAGUUAGUUGUGAAAUCCCUCGGCUUAACUGAGGAACUGCAACUAAAACUGAAUUUCUUGAGUGCGGGAGAGGAAAGUGGAAUUCCUAGUGUAGCGGUGAAAUGCGUAGAUAUUAGGAGGAACACCAGUGGCGAAGGCGACUUUCUGGACCGUGACUGACGUUGAGGCACGAAAGUGUGGGGAGCAAACAGG
rnacentral:rRNA from 1 species